AGCUGCUACCUUCUUGUCAACAUGCACAGAAUACUUCUGACCACAGGCCUCUUUGUGGCUCUUGUCACUAUGGCCUGCUCCAAAAGGCUGGUUUGUUUCUACGACAGAAAUGCGGCUAACAGACCCUCCAUCGGCAAUUU